GAGGUGGCAAGCGUUGUUCGGAAUUACUGGGCGUAAAGGGCGCGUAGGUGGCCUUCUUAGUCAGACGUGAAAUCCCCGGGCUUAACUCGGGAACUGCGUCUGAUACUGGAAGGCUCGAGUUCGGGAGAGGAAUGUGGAAUUCCAGGUGUAGCGGUGAAAUGCGUAGAUAUCUGGAGGAACACCGGUGGCGAAGGCGGCAUUCUGGACCGAAACUGACACUGAGGCGCGAAAGCCAGGGGAGCAAACGGGAUUAGAUACCCCGGUAGUCCUGGCCCUAAACGAUGAGUGCUUGGUGUGGCGGGUAUCGAUCCCUGCCGUGCCGAAGCUAACGCAUUAAGCACUCCGCCUGGGGAGUACGGUCGCAAGGCUG
rnacentral:rRNA from 1 species